UGGACGCCAGUCUGCGUGGAGCCAACCUUGAAAUACCACCCUUUAAUGUUUGAUGUUCUAACGUUGGCCCCUGACCGGGGUUGCGGACAGUGUCUGGUGGGUAGUUUGACUGGGGCGGUCUCCUCCCAAAGCGUAACGGAGGAGCACGAAGGUUAGCUAAUCCUGGUCGGACAUCAGGAGGUUAGUGCAAUGGCAUAAGCUAGCUUGACUGCGAGCGUGACGGCGCGAGCAGGUGCGAAAGCAGGUCAUAGUGAUCCGGUGGUUCUGAAUGGAAGGGCCAUCGCUCAACGGAUAAAAGGUACUCCGGGGAUAACAGGCUGAUACCGCCCAAGAGUUCAUAUCGACGGCGGUGUUUGGCACCUCGAUGUCGGCUCAUCACAUCCUGGGGCUGAAGUAGGUCCCAAGGGUAUGGCUGUUCGCCAUUUAAAGUGGUACGCGAGCUGGGUUUAGAACGUCGUGAGACAGUUCGGUCCCUAUCUGCCGUGGGCGCUGGAGAAUUGAGGGGGGCUGCUCCUAGUACGAGAGGACCGGAGUGGACGCAUCACUGGUGUUCGGGUUGUCAUGCCAAUGGCACUGCCCGGUAGCUAAAUGCGGAAGAGAUAAGUGCUGAAAGCAUCUAAGCACGAAACUUGCCCCGAGAUGAGUUCUCCCUGAGACUUUAAGUCUCCUGAAGGAACGUUGAAGACGACGACGUUGAUAGGCCGGGUGUGUAAGCGCAGCGAUGCGUUGAGCUAACCGGUACUAAUGAACCGUGAGGCUUAACCUU
rnacentral:rRNA from 1 species